AAAUGGCGGCCGCGGGCUUGGUGGCUGUGGCAGCGUCUGCGGAGUACUCUGGCCCCGUGGCGUCAGGGGGAAACCUCUCUGGUGCAAACUGUGGACCGAGCCCUGGGUUAGGCCUUGGUCCUGGCCCGGGCUCGUGGAGCCGCUCGGUCGACCGAGCCCUGGAGGAGGCGGCGGUCACCGGGGUGCUGAGCCUGAGCGGCCGGAAACUAAGGGAGUUUCCCCGGGGAGCGGCCAACCAUGACCUGACGGACACCACCCGGGCCGACUUGUCACGGAAUCGCCUCUCAGAAAUUCCUAUGGAAGCAUGUCACUUUGUCUCUCUGGAAAGUCUUAACCUAUACCAGAAUUGUAUUCGGUAUAUCCCAGAGGCCAUUCUAAACUUACAAGCUCUGACGUUCUUAAAUAUUAGUCGGAACCAACUCUCGACAUUGCCAGUACACUUGUGUAAUUUACCAUUGAAAGUCUUAAUUGCUAGUAAUAACAAAUUGGUCUCACUUCCUGAAGAAAUUGGACAUCUCAGACAUUUGACGGAACUUGAUGUGAGCUGCAAUGAAAUUCAAACCGUACCUUCCCAAAUUGGUCAUCUGGAAGCCUUGAGAGACUUUAAUGUAAGAAGAAAUCAUCUAGUGCGCCUGCCUGAAGAGCUGGCAGAAGUGCCUCUGAUACGACUAGACUUCUCGUGCAAUAAAGUCACAGCCAUCCCCGUGUGCUACCGGAACCUUAGGCACCUCCAGGUGAUCACCCUAGAAAACAACCCACUGCAAUCACCUCCUGCACAGAUAUGUAUAAAAGGCAAAAUCCACAUAUUUAAAUACCUGAACAUACAAGCUUGUAAGAUUGCUCCAGAUUUACCAGAUUAUGAAAGGAGACCAUUGGGAUUUGGCUCAUGCCAUGAAGAACUGUACUCACGUCCUUAUGGAGCCCUCGAUUCAGGCUUCAAUAGUGUGGAUAGUGGGGACAAGAGGUGGUCAGGAAAUGAGCCUACAGAUGAAUUUUCAGAUUUGCCGCUUCGAGUGGCAGAGAUUACUAAAGAGCAGAGACUUCGGAGAGAGAGCCAGUACCAGGAAAAUCGCAGCAGUGUGGUAGUCUCAAAUGGUGGAGUGGAGCACGAUCUGGAUCAGAUUGACUACAUUGACAGCUGUACUACAGAAGAAGAAGAGAACGAUGUCAAACAGCACAAAGGCUUGGAUGCCAACAGUCUCAGCUCACAGUUCAUGGCAUACAUUGAACAACGGCGGAUCUCCCAUGAGGGUUCACCAGUAAAGCCAGUAGCUGUUAGAGAAUUUCAGAAAACAGAAGACAUGAAAAGAUACUCACAUCAAAGCAGGGUUCCAGCUGAACCAUCCUCCGUGUUAUCACUGCCACCAAACCACAAUCGGCUUUCACAUUCAGACUUGGAGCUUCAUCAGAGGAGAGAACAGUCAGUCGAGUGCACUCGGAGAGAGGCACAGCUUGCAGCCCUGCAGUAUGAGGAGGAGAAAAUAAGGACUAAGCAGAUUCAGAGAGAUGCUGUCUUGGACUUUGUCAAACAGAAAGCGUCACAAAGUCCACAGAAACAGCAACCUCCUGGAGAUGGUGAGUGUCCCCUCCCAUCCCGAAGGUCUCAGCACACAGAUGAUAGUGCCCUGUUAGUGUCGCUGUCAGGCAUGGAACGAGUAAGCUGCGUGGCUACCCUGCCUCACUCUUCUGCCUUCACACCUCUUAAGAGUGACGACAGAGUCAAUGUCAUCUCAAGCUUUCCUACAACAGAGACAGUCCAUCAUUCCCCUGCAUAUUCUUUUCCUGCUGCUACCCAGAGAAAUCAGCCCCAGCGCCCUGAAAGCUUCCUUUUCCGAGCUGCCGUUAGGGCAGAAACCAAUAAAGGGCGUGCCUCACCCCUUCUGUCCUCUGCACCUGACCCUGCAGACCCUGUAACAAGACAGAGAGAAGAAGAGCUAAAGUUAAUAGACCAGCUGCGCAAGCACAUUGAGUACCGAUUAAAAGUGUCUCUGCCCUGUGAUCUUGGAGCAGCUCUGACUGAUGGUGUUGUACUUUGCCACUUGGCCAAUCAUGUUCGGCCUCGAUCUGUCCCAAGCAUUCAUGUCCCAUCUCCAGCCGUGCCUAAAUUAACAAUGGCAAAAUGCCGGCGAAAUGUGGAGAACUUCCUAGAAGCUUGCAGAAAAAUCGGUGUACCCCAGGACAAUCUCUGUUCCCCUUCCGACAUCCUUCAGCUAAACCUCAGCGUUAAAAGAACUGUCGAAACCCUGCUUUCUCUCGGGGCACAUGCAGAAGACUCCAGCAUUGUCUCUCUGUCUGUCCAGCUUCUGGGUUUUGUGGCAUUUUAUUGUGCUUUAAUGUUAACUCUCUGUGUGCUGUAUUACCGGGUUUUCCCCUCUAGCUGACAGUGCAGCCUGUGCCUUCCACCUCCUUCCUGUGCUUGGUGCAGGUUUGUUUCUCAUACAGAAUUACUGACACAUGAAAAAAACGUGUUUUUUUCAGAGUGCUAACCUGAGUAGGUGCAUCAUUUCUUUUAUGUCCAGAGGGGCAGCACAUUGCACAGUAGGCACUAAGGAUGGCUAAUAGAAAGAUCAUCACUUGCUUCCCCUGCCCUGAGGCCUUGUUUCUCAUAUUGGGUGGUGGGGUUGAGGUGUUUUUAUUGAUGCAGUCCUGAGCCGCAGAACUCUGCCGUUCUUUUUAUACUGUGCUACACUUCAGUCUUGAAGUGACAGAUGUCUGAGCCCUUUCACCAGCUGCUCACCAUGAUGCUACUGGUGUCCUUUCUACUCUGGAGUACCUUGUCACUUAGUUCUCUGUCCGGAAGGCCCAACUUGGCCCCCCCCCCCUUUUUUUUUAACAGUAUUUGGACAUUUAGAAGGCAUGGGACACUUAAACUUUAUAAUUUUAGUUUGGCCUGAAUUUUUAGUUUAAAGAUACUAGAGGUUCUCCAGAUUGCUGUCUGAACCAUUGUAUCCAUUUAAAACAGUGGACACUGAGCAGAGCCUGCAUGUGAGACCUGGCCAUGCCUCCCACGUGUGCUGCCUGUGACAGAUCUACUGCAGGAGUCCUGUUAGACUGUGACGUUUGCAGUUCCUGUCGCUGCUAGCAUGACUGAGUCAUUUUUGUGGGUGGACUUGUAUUUUGUAGGCUGUUGGGAAGAUUGUAUCGGAACUGCAGGUCCAGUGAAGCUGCAGUCUGUCUCGGAAUGCUUAGUAGAUCUGUCUCUGGACCUGGGGCCCAGAACAGCAUUGCUGCAUUCCGAUUGCAGUUUCUCACCAAUGGUGUCUCCAUGCUCCAUUAACAAAACUGACCAGCAGCUCAAGGGAGACGGCCAGGAACAGCCUGGGCCACCGCUCCCCUCGUGUACUUCUGUCUGAAGCGGGUCGUUCCUAACCGUCCUCACUAACGAUGCAGUGACAGACUCGGUGCUCUGCAGCAGUGCCUGCCUCCCGGGUGUGUCACGGACUUGUCUUCUUUUUAAGACACCUAGAAUUGACGAUUAUUGUCCGAAUUCUGUAGUUUUGUCCUUUUACACACACAUACACGGGGUGUGUGCUGAUACCCACCUGCAGUCCCAGCCUUUAGGAGCCUAGGCUGGCUACAUAGCAAGACCUGUCUUUAAAAUAAAAACAGACAAAACCACCACAGAGGCUGCUGAGCGGUCUAGACGGCAGUGGUGAGUUCCUAGGAAACAUCCGCAAAGUUGAUGUCUGUAAGCUCCGAUCUCUGAGUGGUGAGUAGACCGCUGUGCUCGGCCUGUGCACUGCUGAGCAGAUGACAGGGAUGCCCCACCCACAGCACACAGGCUUCAUCUUUUUUGUUGUUAUUGUUUGGUUGGUCGUUGUUUUGUUUUGGCUUGUUACGGUUUGAUUUUAGUUUUUUAAGACAGGGUUUCUCUGUGUAGCCCUGGCUGUUCUGUGAACUUGAUCUGUAGACAGGCUGGCCUCAAACUCAGAGAUCUGCCUGCCCUUAAAAGGUGUGUGUCACCACUGACCAGCUCUGCUGUAUUUUUAUUGCAAUCCACUUUGUAACGCUCCGAGUGAUGCAGAGUGUAACGGAGCACUCCUAGCCCUCAAACGUGACUUGAAGGCCACCCUGAGCUAUAUGCAGCAAGACCUUCUCUCAACUAUAAGCAAAAAAGUAAUUUUUACCCAGGCAUGGUGGUACACAUGUUUAAUUCCAUCAUUUGGGAGGUAGAGACAAAAGUAUCUCUGAGUUCUAGGCUGGCCUGAUCAACAUAGCAUGCUCCAAGACAGCCAGAACUACAUAGAGAAACCCUGUCUCAAAAAAAUUAAAAAAUAAUAAUUUUGAUGAGAAAAAGAAAAGCCAGUAAGUGUUAUGCUAAGAUUUGCCUUUUUCUUACAAGAGUAACAAAGUAGAUGUAUCCAGCUUCUUACCCAAAGGAACAGUCUUUUUAUGGAUCAGUUAUCAAGAUGUGAGUAAGCUUACAUAAUAGUUCCUCGGCUUUCUUUAAUCUGCUGAAUUUUACAAUAUGAAAUACUUUACUUUUUCAAAUACAGUUUGUUUUUUUUUUUUGUUUUUUUUUUUGUUUUUUUUUUUGGUGGUUUUGUUUUGUUUUUCAAGACAAGGUUUCUCUGUGUACCUUUGGGAGGCCUAAAAUUUGCUCUGUAGACCAGACUGGACUCGAACUCAUAAAGAUCCACCUGCUUCUGUUUCCCAAGUGCUGGGAUUAAAUGUGUGCACCACUGCCCAGUUUUCAAAUACAGUUUUUAAGACAAGAUCUCACAGUGUAGCCUUGACUGACCUUGAACUCACAGAGACCUAUCUGGCUCUGCCUCCUAAGUCCUAGGAACAAGCACACCCAGCUAAAACACAAUUUUUUUAAAUCUGAUUUUUUAAAACUAAUUGAGGUUUACCCUCCAUGAAUUACCUGAGGUAGAGCAAUGUUUCUUACUUCCAUUUAACUCUGAGGGUUGUGGCUUUCAGAAUGGAGCUAUGGUGCAAGUCCUGGGCCCUCCUCCCUUCCUGCAGUUAGAGUCAUCACAAAAUCAUGAUGCGUCCCUCUGUCUGUGAUUUCCUCCCCAGAGUGUCCUCUGUAAUGCUGUUUUCCACGUGGGCCAUUCUGUAACUCGGCCUGUUUUUCUAUUUUGAUGUGCUCUGUAAGUCGGCCCUGAUCUUUUGUCAGAUAGUGUGGCUUCCUCCUACCGUGUAAAUGUGUGUCACCUGUCAGUCUUCCCUUUUCCAAACGUUCUGUGUGAACCUUUAACUGUGUUAAUAAAGUGACCCUGAGUGUGAGACACCAUCUACGUCUGCCUCCUUUAGCAGGGAGCAAUUAUGUUUGCCUCUGCACAUCUUAGAAGAGAAGGGGUUGAGCCAGGUUGCCGUGACUGUCCAGGCCCUCCUGGAACUUGCCCCACCCAAGCAGCAGCAGCAGCUUCCGCCCCAGCUCUCUGCUGUC